AAGUCCUGGUGAAUGUCGGCCGUAACUAUAACGGUCCUAAGGUAGCGAAAUUCCUUGUCGGGUAAGUUCCGACCUGCACGAAUCGUGCAACGAGUUGGGCGCUGUCUCGACUAGAUGCUCAGUGAAAUUGUAGUGCCGGUGAAGAUGCCGGCUACCCGCAGAAAGACGGAAAGACCCUAUAGACCUUAACUGUAAGCUGUUACUGGUUAUUCGAUUUUAAUGCUCAGCAUAAGUGGGAGACGUUGAAGCGUGUUUUUAGGAACAUGUGGAGUCAUCAGUGAGAUACCACCCUUUAACAUUGGAUGAUCUAACCCUAAGCCGUCAUCCGGCUAGGGGACCGUGGCAGCCGGUCAGUUUUACUGGGGCGGUAUCCUCCUAAAGAGUAACGGAGGAGCGCGAAGUUUGGCUCAGCACAGUUGGUAACUGUGUGUUGAGUGUAAAGGCAUAAGCCAGACUAACUGUGAGACCUACAAGUCGAGCAGAUACGAAAGUAGGCCUUAGUGAUCCGGCGGUUGAAUGUGGAAUUGCCGUCGCUCAACGGAUAAAAGGUACCUUAGGGAUAACAGGCUUAUUUCGCCCAAGAGUUCAUAUCGACGGCGAAGUUUGGCACCUCGAUGUCGGCUCGUCGCAUCCUGGGGCUGGAGAAGGUCCCAAGGGUCCGGCUGUUCGCCGGUUAAAGCGGCACGCGAGCUGGGUUCAGAACGUCGCGAGACAGUUCGGUCCUCUAUCUUCUGUGGGCGUAGGAAAAUUGAUGGGUUCAGAUCCUAGUACGAGAGGACCGGAUCUGACGCACCUCUGGUGUUCCAGUUGUUCUGUCAAGGGCAUUGCUGGGUAGCUAAGUGCGGCACGGAUAAGCGCUGAAAGCAUCUAAGCGCCAAGCCAUUCCAGAGAUUAAUUUUCCCUGAAGGAUCGUGGAAGACCACCACGUUGAUAGGCUGAGGGUAUAAGUGCAGUAAUGUAUGUAGCUCAUCAGUACUAAUCAUCCGUUCGACUUAAUUCC
rnacentral:rRNA from 1 species